rnacentral:rRNA from 1 species
UACGUAGGCGGAAGAUUAAGUCAGUGGUGAAAUCCUGCAGCUCAACUGUAGAACUGUCAUUGAUACUGAUCUUCUUGAAUACAGUUGAGGUAGGCGGAAUAUGUAAUGUAGCGGUGAAAUGCUUAGAUAUUACAUAGAACACCGAUUGCGAAGGCAGCUUACUAAACUGAGAUUGACGCUGAGGCACGAAAGCGUGGGGAGCGAACAGGAUUAGAUACCCUGGUAGUCC